rnacentral:misc_RNA from 1 species
GUGAACAUGGGACUGUAGGAAAGCAAAAACAAGCAUUGUGCUGCUAAGCAAAGCAUUUCAUAUCCAGCCAAAAAAAAAAAUGACAAGCAUAAAAUGUUAGAUUAUCAAAUAUAAAUGGUCAAUUGAUUCUUAAAAAUUCAAGAGUAUUUCUUUGUGAAAUCCUUCUGUUGAACACAAGCAUUCUGCAAACAAUUAACAGCAGCAAGGUGGAGAAAUUACAUGGUCAAAUAGUAUGUUCUCAUGGUCAACAUUAGCACUUCACAUGUUAUGAGCAUUAGAUAGUAUUUAAAAUUUGUAACAAGAAACAACGUUCAUUUAUUUGGCUAAGCCUUGCCAGUAAUAUUAUUGAGGAAACAAGGUCCAGUUAUUCACUUUGAAUUAUACUAAUUACAUUUCCCCAACUAAGAAAGCACUUGCAACAAUUAAAAGGACUAAGUGAGGAGGUAAACACAAAGUAAAAGUUAAAGAAAUCAUCCGGCUGACUUAUGGCUGGUUUAAAGAAAUGCCAAGAUAAUAA